rnacentral:rRNA from 1 species
CCUACGGGUGGCAGCAGUGGGGAAUAUUGGACAAUGGGCGAAAGCCUGAUCCAGCCAUGCCGCGUGUGUGAAGAAGGCCUUCGGGUUGUAAAGCACUUUCAGUGGGGAAGAAAGCCUUGGGGCUAAUACCCUCGAGGAAGGACAUCACCCACAGAAGAAGCACCGGCUAACUCCGUGCCAGCAGCCGCGGUAAUACGGAGGGUGCGAGCGUUAAUCGGAAUUACUGGGCGUAAAGCGCGCGUAGGCGGUCUGAUAAGCCGGUUGUGAAAGCCCCGGGCUCAACCUGGGAACGGCAUCCGGAACGGUCAGGCUAGAGUGCAGGAGAGGAAGGUAGAAUUCCCGGUGUAGCGGUGAAAUGCGUAGAGAUCGGGAGGAAUACCAGUGGCGAAGGCAGCCUUCUGGACUGACACUGACGCUGAGGUGCGAAAGCGUGGGUAGCAAACAGGAUUAGAUACCCGAGUAGUC